AUGUAGCAUGUAGUAUGUAGUUGUAGUGUUGUACUAUGUAGGGUUUGUAAAUUUCUUUUUUUUUUAAAGUAGGGUUUGACAAACCCUACUUUAGUUUUUUUGAAUGUAUGUAAUAUGUAUUAAUUUUAUUUUGUAUUUGUAAUGUUUUAUUGCAGCAAACUUCACUUUAUUAUUUCAAUUUGCCUCAACUUCAAGUUUCACAAAACUAUCCUAAAAUGUCUACUUCAGCUUCUAGACCCCCCAUUAGAAAGGACCCUGCUUGGAAAUAUCAUGAGGAUUUUUCAAGGCAAGGAAAGGGGCAAACAAAAUGAAUGUUUUGCAAAACAAUAUUCCAUGGAGGUAUAUAUAGGCUGAAAUACCAUAUUGCUGGUGUGCGUGGACAUGAUGCCGAACCAUGCCUAAAAGCAGUCCUUGAGGCCGUACGUGAUUGUUAUGUAAUGGUUGAGGAGAUUGAAAGGAAAAAGAAACAAAAGGAGGAUCGAGCGGCCAUUGGGAGAGAGACAGUUUUAGGAAGAGGGGCACAGUUAGGUUGUGUUGGAGGCCCUUCUUCCUUACCUCCAUAUCGUCCCACUCAGUUUGCUACUAUCGGUGCUUCCGUUUCUGAUUCUGCUUCUAUAAGUGGCAGUGCCACCGCCACUUCUCAUGCUCCUACCACUAGUAGUUGUAGUGGGAAUGUUACCAUUGGACCUAGGAUUCGUAAAUCUAGGUUGGAUUCCUUCUUUGUGCCUCGCACUACUCCUGGGUCCCAACCGUCGCUUGAGGGCAUGGGUUGGAACAAAGAGGUCCAUGAUGCUGCUAAAAUGGCAGUUGGCAGGUUUUGGAGCUACAGCUGUAUUCCAUUCUUUGUAGCCAGGUCUCCUUAUUGGCAACAAAUGGUUGAUGCCAUUACCAUAUGCGGGGCGGGGUUCAAAGCCCCUAGUGAGAGUGAUUUGAGGGGACCCAUUUUGUCUCAAAUGGUGGAUGAUGUGAAAAAGGAUUUAGAUGAACAACGCCAGAUAUGGAGCACUAAAGGUUGCACCAUCAUGACUGAUGGUUGGACGGAUAGGAGAAAUAGAACUCUCCUUAAUUUUCUUGUUUCUUCCGCAUGUGAUUAAUUAAUUUUAGUUUCAUAUAGUCUUUAAUUUUUUAUUUUUUAUCUAAUGGUUUAUUGAAUGAUCAUCGACCUAGCUUUAUUUUUUUAUUUCAGGGGGCACCGUUUUCAUCAAGUCCAUUGAUGCCUCCGCCCAUUGCAAGAAUGCCACCUACCUAUGUGAGCAGAUAGAGGAGGUGAUUGAAGAUGUGGGUGAGGAGAACGUGGUACAGGUGGUGACCGACAAUGCAGCAAAUUAUGUUGCUGCGGGUAGACUAUUGAUGGAGAGGCACCCAUCUAUAGUUUGGACUCCAUGUGCUGCUCAUUGCAUUGACCUCAUGUUGGAGGAUAUUGGAAAAAUCCCAUGGGUCAAGAGAUGUGUAGAAAGGGCAAGAAAUGUCUGCAAAUUUGUAUAUAAUCAUUCAUGGGUGUUGGCUCUUAUGAGACAAUACACAGAGCAGAAGGAGUUAGCUCGUCCAGGAAUCACAAGAUUUGCCACAAACUUCCUCACAUUGCAAUCCAUGCUUAGGUCUAAGUCUGCCUUGAGACGUAUGAUUGUUGGUGAGGAGUGGUCUUCCUCAUCCUAUGCUACCACCCCUGCAGGGAUAGAUAUGGCAGACUGCAUUUUUGAUGAGCAAGGCUUUUGGGUCCCUUGUGAUGAGAUAG